GUGGCUAUGGCGCAGUUGGUUAGCGCGCCAGAUUGUGGUUCUGGAGACCGUGGGUUCGAGUCCCACUAGCCACC
rfam:Butyrivibrio hungatei strain MB2003 chromosome I, complete sequence.